rnacentral:rRNA from 1 species
AACGAACGCUGGCGGCAUGCCUAACACAUGCAAGUCGAACGAGACCUUCGGGUCUAGUGGCGCACGGGUGCGUAACGCGUGGGAAUCUGCCCUUCGGUUGGGAAUAACUGAGAGAAAUUUCAGCUAAUACCUUAUAAUGUCUUCGGACCAAAGAUUUAUCGCCGAGGGAUGAGCCCGGGUAGGAUUAGGUAGUUGGUGGGGUAAUGGCAUACCAAGACGACGAUCCUUAGCUGGUCUGAGAAGAUGACCAGCCACACUGGGACUGAGACACGGCCUAGACUCGGACGGGAGGCAGCAGUAUGGUAUAUUAGGCGAGGAGCGCAAGCCUAGUCCAGCAAUGCCGCGUGAGUGAUGAAUGCCUUAGUGUUGUAAAGCUCUUUUUCCCGGGAUGAUAGUGACAGUAACGGGAGAAUAAGCUCCGGCUAACUCCGUG